rnacentral:rRNA from 1 species
CAAACUAAAGAUGGCGACCGGCGCACGGGUGAGUAACACGUAUCCAACCUGCCGAUAACUCGGGGAUAGCCUUUCGAAAGGAAGAUUAAUAUCCGAUAGUAUAUUUUCUCCGCAUGGCGAGAAUAUUAAAGAAUUUCGGUUAUCGAUGGGGAUGCGUUCCAUUAGUUUGUUGGCGGGGUAACGGCCCACCAAGACUACGAUGGAUAGGGGUUCUGAGAGGAAGGUCCCCCACAUUGGAACUGAGACACGGUCCAA